CAAACCUCCCAUGAUUGUUUUCUUCAUUUGUCAUGGUUCCCUCCUUGCAGCCAAAUUGGCCUCUGAAAUUUCUGGCUUUCAGAGAACAAAGAGAAGUCAUAGAAAAUACAGAUGCGACAGUAAUGGUAUCUGCUCUGCCAGGCACAAACUCUUAGGAGAAUUUAUCUCUUAGGCUACAUGGAUCUCAGACAGUCAAAAACCCGGAAGAAGCCCAUCCUUGGACAAUUUACAGCCACUCCAAAUGACUGUGAGAAGGGUGACUCCGCCAUCUGUGUUUUGGGACCCAUCUCCAUUCAUGCAUUCCAGGAGGAAAAUCAUAAUAACAUGGACAGCACCUGUAAAUGAUAAGCUGUGAAGGACACGUCACUAUCUUUUAACAUCUUGAAUGUCAUUGCAUUAAAGAUACUGCUGAUCAAGUAUAUGGGGAAUAGCAUUACUAGAGAAACAGUGUUAAUGCAAGAUAUACAAAUAUAUAAGAAUUUGCAAGGUUGGCUUACAGUGGCCACACACAGAGGUGGGUGUGGGAGGGCGCAGAGGGCUGCCUGUGCACUGGGG
rnacentral:lncRNA from 1 species